rnacentral:lncRNA from 1 species
ACUCUUGUUUGCUAUGUGAUAUGAUUCUUAAGAUAUUCCUACCCCUCAGCACUACUUCCUACAGCUGCAAGAGCUGCUGUACCAGGAAGAUCAAAUUGCCGGAUCACAGUUUAGUCUGGCAAGGAUUCAGAGGAUGCUGUCAAGAAAAAUUCGAACAAUCAACUUGGAAAAUGAGGUAAUCUCAAGCCAAAGCAAUCAUCAGAAAAUGAGGAUGGGGAAGAGUUUGCAGUUCUGGAAUGCUCAAGAGCUACAAUAAAUAGUUUAAGAAAUUUAAUUAAAAACUACUGGAAUAUUUUUCUCAUGUCAUCCAA